UUAACGAUGGCCAUCUGAAAUCCAUUUAAUAUACCAGCCGUGUAUUCAAAAAAAGGAUAUAUCCAAUCAACUAAUAUAUAUUAUGACUAAUACUAAAGACUUAAAAAUCAAAGAAAAAAAUAAGUAAAUAUAUAUGUGUUAAAUUCAGAACUACAUUAACUGUUAAAGCAAACAACAACAGAUCUAAGUAAGUUAACCAAGUCUGUGUCUGAACAUUGAUAAAAUGAGGAGCAGCCUUUCAUCAACGGCUUUACAAACCACUCCCAGCUAAGGAUCAACUUUUCAAAUUGCUUACGAAGUGGACUUAAACUCUUAUAAGUUUCCAACCAUCUUCUGGAGAGUCAAUCCGUUUUGGACGAGCAUUGGGUGGAGUAAUCAUCAGACGAGCCAGCAAUCUGAAUACAGGAGUCCAAUUCAUAUUUGACCCUUGGCUCGAGCUGCUGCUUAACCCAACUGUGUCAUACCAACGGCAAAUGUCUUUGAGAGGCACAAAUGAAUGAAAACUCCUUGAUUUACUCUCCUAAGGUGACAGCAGAUCCUUGACGGGAAGCCACAAUUCGGACUGUGCGACUAUUAUCCGCGCAGUCUAGCCAAGGAAGAUUGACCACCCAAGAUCAAAGAAUGGAGAAACUUACCCCACACACAGCUUUAAUAUAAGAAGAAAAUGUUUAAAGGUCCUGAUGAAGUUUUAUUCCUCUCCAUUGAUGCUGACUGCCCAGCUGAGUUCCUGCAUCAUUUUGUGUAUGUUACUCUGGAUUUCCAGCAUCUGCAGAAUCUCUUGUCUUUAAAAUGGUUAAUAGACUGGGGGGUGCUGAGCACCACCAUCCGAUCAAUGGAUUCUAUAGCUAGUUAAAAUCUAACUAUAUUUACACAUUGAACCAAAAUGAGAUUAAUAACAGACUUAAUUAUGUUCUACAUAUCAAUUAAAGCUGCUCA